GAUAAGAUUCGCUUGAUUUGGAGUAAGAAGGAAUUUUUGGUAAAUUUUUGAGUUUGAGGGAGUCGACUGCCUUUGCAGUUUGAAUCAAUCGAGUUUGGAAAGGCAUUUCUCAGUGCUUGAUGAUUGGCUUUAUUUGAAAUUUUGGGAGAAAUAAGCUUUAUAAGCUAAGCUCUAAAAGGAUUAAGUUUUGUUGAAUUUGAAGACAAUCUGAAUUUUUAGUGAAUUUCUAAGAGAAGAGGGUUGGUCACCAUGGCAGUUUGGAUCACUCAACUUCAAAGGAGGAAUUCUCACGAUUGGAUCAUUAGAUUGCAACAAGGAUUGUUGGAACAAA
rnacentral:lncRNA from 1 species